UCGGCCACAAUAAAGAUGGCGGCAGCCGCUUUACCAUGGUAACAGGGAAGUCAUUUGCUAACAACCUUGGCCCUCACUUUACUUCCGCCCUGUGAGGGAAGGGAGGUGCUUGGUCCCGCCCCAGCUGCGUGCCCGUUACUUUAUAAAAGCUGGAGUGUAUCGAGCAAUAUGAGAGUCGCGGCAGUCUAGGAUAUGAGAGAAUGAGGAGCGCUCAAAUUCAAGGCGUCGCCAUAGCUGAGGAGAUAGGGGGGUAAAGGGAGAACAGACCCCUGUCUGCUUUUGCGUAGCACCUGGGCUCCAUGUAUUUGGUGGUGGUGAGGGAGCGAGGUGGCGGAGGGCGUAGGCUAGCGGGGUAUUGGAAAAGAUUCUUGACUGCCGGUGCUCAAUAAGCGGCUAACGAAUGAUUUGAACUCAGAUUGCUUUGGCUCAGAGACUGAAUGUUUAACUGCUGUAGUUAUUGCCUCCCAGUAUAACUGAGAGAAUAUGAAUGACUCAACAUAUUUUAUUACCAUUUUUGGAAAAGAACUUGUAUCUAUGACUUGGUGAUCCUGGGUCGGUGGCUCAUAACAACAAACCACCCAAGAAUAGGUUGAGGCACCUGUAACCAGGGGCUUGUUGUGCUGUCAUCAAUCAUGUGUAGAGAAUGGAUUGUUGGUCUCUCACUUCAUCAACCAACCCUACUCUACUGGUUAUAAAAGAGGAGGUGUGUGCAGAGGAUGUUUCCUAAGCUUUUGCUUUUGUAUAUUUGGGUUUCAUUUAUAGGCCCUGUGCCGGUGACUCCUGCCUCAGUGCCUGUUGUCCCUGAGUCUUUUCCUCACUGCAACACUCUUGGGGUGAUACAUAUCUUUAGCCUAUAGGUUAUAACAAAGUGAAAACAGAAGGUAGGGCGCCUGAUGCUGUGGUAGGUGUUAUGACUGAACCUCAGUUAACACAACAAUAUAGGUGCAGUAUGAAGAGGUGGGAGAAAACUAGGAAAGAUGCAUUUCUACACAAAUGGGACUAUAUUUAGAAUAAGUGUUAUUUGGGGGAUUUGCUCAGAAGAGAAAGGGUGCAUGGUGGAGAAUCAAAGAAUUUGGGAAACCACAGUCAAGAUUUGUGGGGCAUUGGCAGAAAGUUUUGUGGAAAAGUCCCGAAUUCUCAUUUAGUCUUGAUGAUACUAAGACUCUUGGAUAAGGUAUAAGUGAAGCAAGAAAAGACACUCAAGAUUGUGAAGGCACAGAGACUCGGCCAUAGAAGGUCAAACUUCCAAGGCUGGGGGAAUAUCUGCAAAGGCAGCAACUCCUGGACAUACAUCAUUGCAUGAAAAAGAUUCCAGAUGGCAAUGCAGCAUUACCCAUGUUAGAAAUUCUCAAUGAGCAGCUCCUGUAAUAGCCAAGGAAACUUGGGGCUCUCAGAGAGCACCUGAAUGCCGACACAGAUCCUGAAUCCAGAAGGUUCCUGAUUGUCCCCUGCUCAAGGGCUGCCUUAUGAGAUACAUUUCUUGGUUGCAGGCCAGGGAGUUAGUUGGUCAGCUGAACUGGAGGAAGAUUUUCCUUGUUCUCGGCAAUGGCGUGGUGACUUCUUGCUGCUGAAUGGGGACUGCUUCCAAGCACUGGGGAAGACUAGAACCAGAACUCUGGGAGACUGUUGCAGUGACACAUGGAAUCCAGCGUUUAGCAAAACCAAGGCGGAUAUCACUGUGCCACACUUAAACUCCAACAGUGUGCUGCUGGGUGAACAUGGCUGGACAGAACAUGACCCAGUCUAGGAUACCACGUUGCAUUGUUGUCAUGUCUCAUUUCGCUCCUGUUGACUGUGGCGGUUUCACAGAAUUUCUUUGUUUUGAUGACCUUGACAGUAUUGAGGAGUACCACUCAGAGAUUGACUGUUGUACAUUGCCAUUCCCAGUUCAUGCUGUGCUACCUUCCAAGGCUGUGAUUGGAAUCCUUAUAGCUGCUCUGAGAAAAAAAAUCUAGAGAUAGAUGGCGUAGCAGGUUGGUGCCAGAUAUACUUCGAGAAUAACAGGGCAACUGAAUGUGUUCCUGUUUCCACAGUACCGUCCCUCUCCACUGCAGUUUGCAGUGUCAGGGGUGGGAUUUUCACUGUUAACGUGUCUGUGCCUCCAUCUCUCCUGCCAUUCUCUGUGUGGUCCCUUUAUCCUUUGUUUUGCUGUUCAGUCAGCCCUCAGUUCUCUUUCAGGAGGAAUUGCUCUGUGUUUACCACAUUUUCUUUACUUAUGCAUUGUUUAUGCACACUUAGGUGGCUUCCAUGUCUUGGCUAUUUUAAGUAAUGCUGCAAUGAAGGUGGGGGUGCAUGUAUCCAAAAGUAGGUUUUUUCAGCCUCUAUAACUAUGUGAUCCAAUUCCUAUAAUCUCUCUUCUCUUCUCUCUCUUCCUUUCUCCCUCCCUCUCUCUCUGUCUCUCUCCCUGUGUCAUUAUCUGUAUCCAUUUUAUUCUGUUUCUGGGAGAACCUUGACCAAUACAGAUUUUGGUACCAAGAAUGGUUCUAGAGGAAUAGAAAUUUAAGGUUGUUUUCUGAUUUGGUUCUGUUGUUUCUGGAAUUGGCUCUCUAAUCUGAUUAGAUUUAAAGAGACUAAUGACUCUAUUUCCCUUAGGAAAGAGAACACUGAUAGUCCAGGGUGGGAACUGUUCAUAGAGAUAUGCAGAAACUCUGCAUCAGAUACUCCUAAUCAACCACUCAUAAGAAGCAAGGAGCUAAGUGACACAGAAUAUAAUACUUUUCAACAUUUUUUUUGAAAGCUAAGGAAUAUAAUAACAUUGGUUGGUUGUUUCUAAUGUUGCCGGACAGAGUGGUGAAAGAAAAGAGUGAGCUCAGCGAUUUGAAUUCCCAGCUCAAGUGCCACAUAAAUGACCUAAGAGCAUUAUGUAUGCCUUGAAGGAGAGUCUUAUCUCAUAGCUGCAGGGUUGAAAUUGCUGAAAAUCAAAUACAGAAUCUUACCUUGUAAUUGGCUGAGUUACAACAUAAGUUUAACUCUCACCCUUGCAGGAUAUCUUCUGUUAAAGUGAGGGCAUUGAUUGGAAAAGAAUGGGAUCCUAUAAAUUGGGAUGAGGAUGUAUAGGAAGAUCUUGAUGAGGCUAGGGACCGUUGAGCUUCUAAAUACUGAAGAAUCUUCUUUGCCAGUAGAAGAGGUCUUCCCAAUCCCAGUGGAAAGCCUCCCCACCCCCAGCAGAAUUGACCUGCCCAGCCCCAGGAAAAGUAUUUCCCUCAACUAUAGCAGGAGUGGCCUCCCUACCCUCAGUAGCAGCCACCUCCCUACUCACAGCAGGAUGGGUCUCUCCACCUGUCUAUGGAGAACCUCAUUAAUGUGGGUGCAGCUUUAGGAAUUUGACCUGGUUGUGCAUACCGUACAUGUUGGCUGGGGGAGGCAGGACUGGCAGGUGUGAGGAGAUAGACUGGAGGUGGGAUCUGCCAGAGCAGAAUUCCCACCUUUACCCCUCUUUUAAUGGUGCAUGUUCUAUUACAAGUAUAUUGUAUUUCAGUCGAUCCGGCUUGCAGCAGGGCAAUGGAAUUCCAGUGGAGAUUGAAUAAUUCUCCGUGAACCAGGGGUGCAAAGUAAUUUACCCAUCCUGGUGGGAUGUCCCAUUGCAAACUCCAGUAGUUAACACCUUUUCCAGGCGUGGUGGGGUAUGAUAUUCUCAGCAGCAUAGCACAUUGAUCUGUGGUGAGAAUCUGGAUGUCUCCUGUGAUUCCAUACCUUUAUACACUUUCAUGGUGUUGGGUAUCUCAGAGGUGGGUUGAUGGGAUAUAUUCUCAAUCCAUCCCUUGGUAGGAAGGGAAGUUCUUACCAUGGUAAUGUGUCCCUUAAUGCUGUCUAGUCAUAUCUGAUUCUAUGCACAUUUUUAAAUAUGGCAUUCUAGUCAAAGCACUGGUAAUGUAACCGGUGUUUCCAAUUGUGUCCUGUUAUAAGGAGAACAGGUUCUCAUUGAACUUAUGCAAAUAACUAUAUCAUCAUGGAUAGAAGAAUAAUCACUAAGAGUUUCUGAAUUCUGAAGAGAUCAGGUAGGGAGAAAAAGAGAAAUGUUUUAUCAUUAUUGACAAAGGUAUAUGUUAGCAAAUUGCUAAUAGCCUAAGAGAAAAGAGGUAAAGUUUAUUUUAAAUAUGUAAGACGCACACACACAAAGAACUGUUUUAAACAAAAAGACAUAAAAAUUAUAAUCAUUCUCUAGUGCCAUAUAACUCUUGUUCUUGAUCUUUUGUUAGCAGUUUAGUGAGUUACAUCAGUUUUUUUCAUUAGAGUUCUGUAAAUUCUUUUUUUUUUUUUUUUUU